UCCCGGGCCAGGGAUCAGAUCCAAGCCACAGCCGUGAACUUAGCCACAGCUUUGGCCACACCAGAUCCUUAACCCACUGUGCUGGGCCAGGGAUCAAACCCAUGUCCCAGCACUCCCAAGACGCUGCUGAUCCUGUUUCUUGACAGUGGGAUCUCUUAGAUAGGUUCUUAUACUUGUGAAAUUUAUAGGGAAAUUAAUUGCCGCCUUAUGCACUGUGGCAUGAUUGGAAGCAAAAGAUGCUCACGUGGAAGAGACUAUUAAAAGUAUUGUCAUACAGCCAAAGAGUGGAAUGUUAUGCUGUUGUCAGAUAGAAAGGAGGGGAGGAAAGGAGGGGAGAGAAGGAGGGAGGGAGAGAGGAAAAGAAGAUGCUGUGGCUCUGGCAUAGGCUGGCAGCUGUUGUGCCGAUUUGACCCCUAGCCUGGGAACUUCCAUAUGCCAUAGGUGCGGCCCUAAAAAGACAAAUAAAUAAGUAAAUGAAUCAUAAAAUAAAGAUAGAGAUGAAGGGAAUUUUGCCAAGGAGAGAAAGAGGAGAAAAUCCCAUCCCUGGCUAAACUCAGGGAAAAAAGAAUUCUCUGGCACUCUUGGCUGGAAUGUAAAUUGGUACAAGUAUUUUGCAGAGUAUGUUGGUUGUAUCUAGUAAAGUUAAAGAUACAAAUGCACAUGACCUGGCCAUUCUUCUUCAAGGCAUUUGAGAAACCCUGACACGUGAGCAGAAGAGAUGUGGGACAGGAUAUUCAUGGGGCAUUAUUUGUUUUUUUUAAUUAAAAAAAAAUAACAAGAAACUCUGCAUGCAAGCUAAUGCCCAUCUCGAGGGAACUGGAUAAACCAAGACCAGGACCUCUUUCUAAUGGGAUACCAUGCAUCAGUGACCUUGUGUGGAUGGAUGUAAAAGCACAAUGUUUCAGUCAAAGAAAGAACUGGCAGAAUUUUUAAACACAAAGCAGGGCUGUAUAUUGUUUAUGGAAAUGAAGCAUAUGAAAUAGAAGUAUGGAGAGACACAUGGGAUUCAAUCUUCUGGAAGAUUUCAAAAUAAGAUUUGGAAGAGAGCAAGCCAUGCCUCGUUCUUGGAUGGGAAAACUUAAUACCAUAAAAAUGUCGGUUCUCCCAUAUUUUUUGCAUAAAUUUAAGUAAUUCAAAUUAGAAUACCAACAGGGUGAUUUCUAAACAAACUAGACAAAAUGAUCUCAAAGAUUAUGUGGCAGAAUAAAUGCCCAAGAAUAACCAAGGAAAAUUGGAAAAUGGGCAACAUGGGGGUUUUGCCUUACCAGAAAUAAGAACAUACUAUAAAGCCACUGUAAUCAAAUCAAUAUGGUAUUGGCAGAGGAAUAGACAAUGGAAAAGAAUGGAGAAUCCAAAAAUAGAUUCCAGUAUACACGAGAACACAAUAUAUGACAAAGGUAGUAUUUCAGUUCAGUGGGAAAAGGGUAGAGUUUGAAUUAAAUGGUGCUGGCACAAGUGAGCAUCCAUCUGGAAGAAAAUAAAAUGGGACCCUGCUUAUAUAUAGCCUAAUACAUUCCAGAUGGAUUAAAAUUUUCUAUAUGAAAAAUAAAUGCCUAACUAUCUUGCAAAAAAACAAUCUCAGAGGCUACAUGUGAAACCUAAACAGAGGAAGUGCCAAGGUCUGAUGGUAGAGGAGCUCAGACAUGUCUGAAAAAGGCAGAAGUUCCACAUGGCUGGGAAGGGAGAGGCCCGGGGUGCCCAGAGCCACCCAAAGCCUGGUCAUGCCCAUGGCCAUCUUUAGGACUUUUGGCCACACCUCUUCACCUUCUGUAUUUUUCAUUCUCUUUAUAAAUUAAAGUGGUUCUAAAGGAUAAUUUUAUAUUGCUGACAAAAUGAUGUGUUCCAUGGACUAAUUUUAUAUUUUCUUCCUUUUCUUUUUUCUUUUUUUCUUUUUUGGUCUUUUUAGGGCUGCACUACAGCACAUGGAAGUUCCCAAGCUAAGGGUCAAAUUGGAACUGCAGCUGCCAGCCACAGCCACAGCCACAACAACACGUGAUCCAAGCCUCAUCUGCCACCUACACCACAACUCACAACGAUGCUGGAUCCUUAACCCACUGAGCAAGGCCAAGGAUCGAACCCGCAUCGUCAUGGACACUAGUCAGGCUCAUUACUGCGGGUCCACAAUGGGGACUCCAAUUUUAUAUUUUCUGAAUCACAUGGAAAUAGACGUAUUGACUAAGAUGGGGAAAAUGGUCUGGAAUUACCUGGUGGGUGGGUUAAAUUUGUCUUUUGGAAGUCACUCUGCCACCUUGUGGCAGGAGGGACUGGAAGAGUAAGUGGCGGUUGGGUAGGCAUGAACAGGCGGGGGGCCAGAGCAAUAAUUCCCUCCAAGGCAGUGAGGUGAGAGCCAAGGUCACAGGGAACAUCCUUCCCACUCCUUUUCCUACACCCACCUUCAGUCUGUGACUCCAAAAUCUGACCAUUUCCCAGCUACUACCCUGGUCCAAGCUGCCAGUGUCUUACCUGGAUCACUACACUUGCUUCCUUGACGGAAGGCUUCCAACUUCCUGACUGUCCAUUCAGAAUGCCACCACAGAGGGAUCCCGUGAAAACGUGAGCCUGCUCCCCAUCACUCAAGGUACCUAACCACCUGCCCUGGUUGCCUCUUCAGUCAUGUCUGUUUGCUCAUAUCCAGCCUAUGCGCUUCUUAGCUGUUUCUCAAAUAUGCCUGGCACACGUCAACCCCAGGACAUUUGUGCUUGCUAUUCUCUUUGCCCAGACAUCCACAUGGAUUCUUCACAUAUUCCAGGCCUCUGCCCAAAGGUCACCUUUCCUGAGAGCCUUCCUGGACCACCUCAUGGUGAAGGCCAAACCAGCUGUGGGUGACAGCUAGAGUGCAGAUUGACCCUACAGACCCUGUAGGCACUCCAAAGACAAAGACAGAGAGACAGGGAGAGAGAGAAACAGCCAUGAUGCAUGUAAACAGGGCUGGGUUUUGCCCCCACUGCCCACUGUGCACCCUCAGUACAGGUAUGGCCAGCCUGCAAGCCUGGGAAAAAACACAGUUGCUGCUUCUUCCAAGCCCUGGCAAAGGGAGAGAAGAUGACCAUAGCAGUGGGCAUGACCCAUAGCACAUCUUAAGGCUUGCUAGCAAGAACAUUGGGAAAUGUGAGACAGACUUUCCGUGUUCUCCAUACCAUAGGAGCAACACGACUCCUAGACAUGUAGGCACAUGAAAACACAUCCACACAGAGACUUGUACACUAAUGUUCAUGGUGGCCUCAAAAGUUGAAACAACCCAAGUGCCAGUCAAUUGAUGAAUGGACAAAUAGUGGUCUAUCCCUACAGAGGAAUAUUAUUUGGCCAUAAAAAAGGAGUGAAGUACAGAUACAUGCCAAAACAUGGAAAAGCAGAUUAGUGGUAAGUAGUUUUUAGUAUAUUCACAGGGUUGUGCAACCAUUACCAUAAUCUAAGUUUAGAAGAUCUAAAGUUUGCAUCACCUCCCCCAAACCCUGUAUCCAUUAGCAGACACUCUCCACUCUCUGUCCCCCCAGCCCCUGGCAACUACUGAUAUGCCUUCUGUCUUUACUGUGGAUGUUUCAUACAUGGAACCAUACACUCUGUGUGGUCCAUUCAUGUUGAAAGCAAAAUAGGGCAGGACCUUGUGGCUCUUCUGGCCAUGUCCUCCACCUGCCCCCUCACCUUUUUUUUUUGCUUUUUAGGCCCAUGCCCAUGAUGUAUGGAAGUUCCCAGGCUAGGGCUUGAAUCACAGCUAUAGCUGCUGGCCUACACCACAGCCACAGUAAAGUGGGAUCCAAGCCACAUCUGUGACCUACACCAUAGCUCACAGCGAUGCCGGAUCCUUAACCCACUGAGCGAGGCCAGGGAUAGAACCCACAGCCUCAUGGAUACUAGUCGGGUUCCUUAACCGCUGAGCCACGAAGGGAACUCCUCCACCUGCCUUUGUCUGUGGAUAAACUUUAGCCAAAGAAUAAGUUUUAUCAGAGGAGUGGAAAAAUGCAGACGCAAAGGAAAACAGUUAAACAAGACAAAAUAAUAAUCGUUUAAUCAUUAAGCAAAGUCAAGGCCCUUUAGCUCCAUCUCAAGGGCUGUAGAUCGUAUUCUGAGCCACAUCCUGUGAGCUGUCACAUAGAUACUGAAACCCCUACCAGGUGGAAGAAGUUAACGACAUGAUGACCAGACUGUGGCCGUGACAUCAGCUGCCACAAUCCUGAGAACUGGCCUCAGGGAAAUGGGAACAAACCUACCCAGAACUGAAGACGAACUGUACUUAAAUCAAGGUGACACUGGUCAGACCACCCAUGACCAAUUUCAAGAUGACUGUCAGAGCUGACUGUGUUGUUCUGCGUGUAGCCCCCUCCUUCAGCCUAUAAAAGCCCUUGCCCACUGAUUUGCAGUUGGGGGAGGCAGCCUUUGGACACCAGCUGCCCCACCCCCACCCCAGGGUUGCCUCCCUCUGAAAUAAAGCAAAUUUUCCUUUUCAUCAACCUUCUCUCUUUAUUGGCUUUAGAGCUACAGCAGCUGGACCCACUUGCUGGUAACAGUUUUUUGGCGCCCAUGUGGGACUGCAUUGUCACGAGAUCUGGCUCCCAGGGUUUUCCCAAGUAGAGCUGUCCGCCAUGUUGCCACUCGGGGGUGGCUGCGAUGAGCCUGCUGCUCGUGGCUCCUGGCCCCAAGGCAGAGAUUUGGGAGGAAUGUUCCUCACAGCUGCCGAAACAGUUCGUUUUGGGGAUCCUCCUUGUUUUUCUCCUGCUCGGCACUGGCUGCCAACUUACACUUGUCCUCGGUAGAACAGGAAGAUUCAUCUGGUCAAACUGACAAGCCCCAAGACGGAGUAAGUCCACCCCUGUGCACCCUGAAAACUUCUCUCUGGAGCACGAGGUGCUAUUUGGGCAUUUUCCCAAUUGAUUCUGACAUGUGUCUACCACUGAGGACUGAUGGUGAGCACUGCUCUGAGGUUUAGAUUUGAACUUUUGGGCUUAUUUUUGAGUAUGGUGCAAGGUAAGAGCUAGAAUUCAUUUUUUUUCCCUUAAAGAUAGUUAAUUGUUAUGUUUAAAAAGCAAUAUUUUCCCAUAUUGAAAUACUUUGGUACCUUUGUAAAAAAUCAGUUAGCCAUAUAACUGUUGGUCUAUCUUUGCACUCUCUUUCCUUUUUCAUGGAGAUUUACCUUUAUAAAGGUAAAUGUAAGGUUUACACUUACACCAGUAUUACACUGUCUUGAUUGAUACUACUUUAUAGAAAGUCUUAAAAUCACAUGGUGUGGAGUUCCUGUCGUGGCUCAGUGGUUAACGAAUCUGACUAGAAACCAUGAUGUUGUGGGUUCGAUCCCUGGCCUCACUCAGUUGGUUAAAGAUCCGGUAUUGCUGUGAGCUGUGGUGUAAGUCGCAGACACGGCUCAGAUCUGCCAUUGCUGUGGCUCUGGCGUAGGCCUGCGGCUAGAGCUCUGAUUAGACCAUCUUGUCUGGGAACCUCCACAUGCCACAGGUGUGGCCCUAG
rnacentral:lncRNA from 1 species